GAUGUCGUGGCCGAGUGGUUAAGGCGAUGAACUAGAAAUCCAUUGGGGUCUCCCCGCACAGGUUCAAAUCCUGUCGACUGCG
rnacentral:tRNA from 2 species